rnacentral:rRNA from 1 species
UAAUACGGAGGUGGCAAGCGUUACUCGGAAUCAUUGGGUGUAAAGGGCAAGUAGGCGGUCUAAUAAGUGAGGGGUGAAAUCCUGCGACUCAAUCGCAGAACUGCCUUUCAAACUGCUAGACUUGAGGUAAGAAGAGGAAAAUGGAAUUCUCGGUGUAAGGGUGAAAUCUGUAGAUAUCGAGAAGAACACCAACGGCGAAGGCAAUUUUCUACUCUUAUCCUGACGCUAAAUUGCGAAAGCUAGGGGAGCAAACAGAAUUAGAUACUCUGGUAGUCCUAGCCGUAAACGAUGAGCACUAGGUGUUGGUUCCUUUGGGACCAGUGCCGCAGCUAACGCAUUAAGUGCUCCACCUGGGGACUACGGUCGCAAGGCUA